rnacentral:lncRNA from 11 species
CCCUCCCUCUCUUUGGCAGUCUGCUGAGAAGUGUGAAACAUGAGACAUGUUUGUGCUUGUUUUUAAAUCCAAAAUGUCAGCAACCAACCUGCAGGUAACUUCUGCCAAGGUAGGCUUUAAAAAGCCUUAAUGAUGGGGAAUUAGAAAUGCUGGCCAAGGGGAAAGAGGCGCAGUGCCUUGGUUCUGUGGUCCAGGAGGAAGCGAAGGGCUGCUUGGCCCCGAUCCCUGCAGCAGGAGCAGCAGCAGUUGGGCUCUGGAAUCAGAACCGCGAUUGAACAGCGCCUUUUGCGGCCAUGGGCUCUGGGAGCAGCCGGAGAUGGAGAGCGGCCCGGAGGCAGAGCCCAGGCAAGGAGGAGGGGGAAGGGCGACAAGAAGCGGAGCCUGUCCCUGAGAGCCUGCCCAAGGCCUCCCCGGCCCGGAUCUUUUGCCCCCCGGCGCCUGACCCGGAUCUGGCGCUCCUGGAGAAGGUCCUGGAGGAGUGCGGCUCCGUCGAGGAGGAGCAAGAGAGGCUCUCCCAUAUACCUGCCUCGCUGCUUCUGCGCCUCGACGCCGGAGACGCUUCCUGCCACCGCCUGCCAAGGGGCGCGCCAGAGGCCAAAGAGGAGCCCAGAGUCUCUCCAGCAAGAUCUAUCCCAGAGAGCAGCGAUUUUACCAACCAAGUCCCACUCAAGAAUCCUGACAGACCAACCAAAAUAGCUUACGAUUACUCUGAAGAGGAGCUGAUGGCAACAAUCGAACAGGAAUACUUCCGCUGAAACCAGGCCAGGCAGUACCAGCUUGACUCUGAAAGAGAUCCCUAUGCAGCAGGAUAUAUUUACAUGGCAGUGUUUCUCAGAAAAUUAGGAAGAGGAAGGAAAGCCACACUGAGCAAGAGGGGCUGCUGUUACUGGCAGAUAGACUGGUGGGAUCUUUCUUCUGUUGACAACUUGACCAAAAAAAUGGCAUCUGCAGGACUCUGCAACGGUAUUUGGCCAACCACGAGGUAUAUGUAUGUGACAAGGAGAGACUUCCAAAACAAACAUGCACAGACGGUUAAGAGUUUAGCUGAUUUCAUACACUUAGAAAAGCAGAAGAAACAACAGUUUUGUUCUCAACGUCUUAGAAGGCGUGCAGCAAAGGGCCACAAUACUUGCUUUGGACUGGGUGCCUACAAAUAGUGACUUCUCUUCCUAAGAAAUAUGGGUCUGUUCAACCACAGAACACCAAUCUGCACAUUAAAAUGUAUAUGACAUACAGGCAUUGAUUUCUUGGUAGAUAUGGAUUUUUUUCUUUGAAUGAUCGAAUGAAUUAGCAAGGGAUGUAAUCACAUAAUUGACCUGGAGAUUGGGAAACUCACAUUAUUGUACUCUUGUCUCAGAAUCCUCCAACUAUCCUUUGCUGGAAAAAGAAAUCCUCAUUUUCUCUGCCCUAGUCCAGAUUCAUGUGGUAUGGACUGGAUAUUGUGAUACUCUGCCAGACAAGUCUUGCUGCAAGGCGGGUAUUGUCAUCCCUUCCAAGAACACCCCUAAUAUCAUUUUAGGAAGCCAGAUCAAACUCCCCUGUUCCUGGACAGAGCUCAGAAAAACCCUGAUAGAAAAUUCCUUCCAUUCAUAGCCAUACAGCUAGAGGUGAAAAAUUAUGUCUAGGACACAUGGCUCAGGGCCAAUGAGAAAUAGCAUGGUAUUUCCUCCUCAACCUUGGUCCAUGUAUGGAAGCUAACUAGAUUCCCAGUUGAAUGUCAACAUCUUACUGGUGAUCAUGGCCUGGCAUCCUUAACCAUUAUGUGAAAAAAGAAAAAUCAUGAAAUAUAAGAAGAGCCCAUGUGGCACACCUUGCUCUGUCCUCUUGUAAGGGGGCAAGGGAGCUACAAUUGCCACAUAUUGCCUCUGCUGCCUAAGACAGCUGGCUGGUUCCCUAGAGAUAGAACUGGCCCUGACAUGUUUUGACUGGAAAUGUCUGGCAGGUCAUUAACUUCCCAUAUGCAAGGUAAAGGCAUCUUUCCUCCCCAAUUUUUUUGCCAUGCAUUGAGUGUUUAAAAAUAUGAUUUUAGCAUUGCAAUAAAUCGGGCAGGCAAAGUUCGCAAUUAGAAUCAUAGAAUCAUAAAGUGGGAAGAGACCACAUGGGCCAUCUAGUCCAACUCCUUGCUAUGUAGGAAAAGCACAAUCAAAGAAUCCCUGACAGAUGGUCAUCCAGAUUCUGUUUAAAAGUUUCCAAGGAAGGAUCUUCCACCCACUCCGAGGCAGAGAGUUCCAAUGCGGAACAGUUCUCACAGUGAGGAAAUUCUUCCUAAUGUUCAGGUGGAAUUGUGAUCGAGGUGACCACCCUCCCCUCCAGGACUUUGUAAAAGAUAGUUCAAAAGUCAAGACUUUAUGUUCUAUAUUCCAUAUAUUUAUAGUAGAAGGUGAUUGAGACUUUUUUUACUGGAGUUUACUGUGGAUUAUCCCUGCACUCUGAGGCAAGAGAUAACAACUUCAUGAAUUGUAAAAUCAUGCUGCUAAAACUCCACUUUUAUGAAUUUCCAUAUUGGGUUCCCCAGAUGUUAUGAACUUCGUUCUUAUCAGAUAUUUUCAAUUGUUUAUAUCAUUCAUGAUUCCCCUUUAUGCAAUGUAACUCACUUUUAUGGAUUCUCCCUUAUUUCCAUGAAAUCCAUCUAUCUGCCUAUAUGUAUUUGUACUCUUUAGGAUCCCCGGAAAAUAUGUAUUUUUCCCAGCAGGGUUUAUAUUCCAACUUUAUUUUAUUUUUCAUUUUAUUUCAUAUAAUUGUCAAAUCAUGAAAUCAAAUGGGAAAUAUUUUGACCCCAACAUGAACCCCAGCUCCUAUGACCCAGGCUUCCCCUUCCCAAAAACAAAAGGUGAUUCGCCCCCAAGGCAAACAUUGUCAUAUCUCACCCAAAGGAAAAACCAGGACAUCUCAGGAAGGCGCCCUGCUGGGCCCAUUUCCACCCAUCCUUACUUCCACCUCUGACACCCCAAGGCAUAUCUGAAAUCAGUGUACAUGACAGGGACCCCUGAUUGCUGUCAUUAAUCCCUUUAGAAUCCGGCCGGGCAGGAAUUAAUCUAAUCCUUCCUGCUCAGUCACUUCAUUGUUUCAAUAACUCCCGCCUUCUCCUCUCUGAUUGGCCCGAGUGGGGACAAAAAGCAGCUCCCUAUUGGGCCAGCAGAGCAAGGCGGGAAACGAAAGCCCGCCUCGUUCAACACUCUAGCCUAUCCGCGAUCAGAUGGGCGGGAGAGCGGGGCGGGAAAUUCAAGGGGCUGUCAGACUGAAACAUUGUAUAAAUAUGGCUUUAUUUUGGUUAUAUGGUACGCUAGUAGGCUGAAUGAUCGCUACUAGUGUCCUUUUCAGCUGAAUCGCUCAAUAAAGACUCCUUGGCGGAUUUUCCUUCAACUUUGGCGGACCUUCUUCAUUUCGGCUUCAGGUUGUAUUGCGGCUCAUAUUCUCCUAUUGGCUCCACCAAGGUCCGUUCUCUCAGGACCGGAUCGGCUCUCUCCUUAAGGGGCCCGAUCCCCUAAAACCGCGGUCGACAACAGAAUCUCCUUUCCUGCAGUUUGAACCCAUUGCUCCUAGUCUUAGUUUCAAGGGCAG